AUUGAACGCUGGCGGCAGGCCUAACACAUGCAAGUCGAGCGAUGAAAUCCCUUCGGGGAUGGAUUAGCGGCGGACGGGUGAGUAACACGUGGGUAACCUGCCUCAAAGUGGGGGAUAGCCUUCCGCAAGGAAGAUUAAUACCGCACAACAUUAGAUUUUCGCAUGAAGAACUAAUUACAGGAGCAAUCCGCUUUGAGAUGGACCCGCGGCGCAUUAGCUAGUUGGUGAGGUACUAGCUCACCAAGGCGACGAUGCGUAGCCGACCUGAGAGGGUGAUCGGCCACAUGGGGACGGAGGCACGGGCCAAACUCCGCCGGGGGGCAGCAGUGGGGAAUAUUGCACAAGGGGGGAAACCCUGAUGAAGCAGCGCCGCGUGGGUGAUGAGGGUCUUCGGAUUGUAGCGCUCUGUCUUUUGGGACGAUAAUGACGGUACCAAAGGAGGAAGCCACGGCUAACUACGUGCCAGCCGCCGCCGUAAGAC
rnacentral:rRNA from 1 species